GAUCGUUGGGUGCGGCGAAGGCCAAUGAACCUGGUCAGGGGGGAAACCCAGCAGCCAUAAGUUGAACUCUUCGGGUGUGCUCAGCGGUCUGU
rnacentral:SRP_RNA from 1 species